UUUUGUUCUGGUGGUGUGAUGUCAUAAGGAUGCGGCGCGCUUCUGCGUCUGUAUUUCAGAUCAGCGAAGAUUGUCCGCACACAGAGAAACAAACACUGGUGAAACAGCUGAGAUUCAUGACACACGGUUAUAAAGAUGGCCUUUAUUAAAGAGGAGACUGAAGAAGUGAAGAUUGAAGAAACAUUGAGUCUGAAACAAGAAGAUACUGAGGAACAAACAGACCUGAUGCCACUGAAAGAGGAGAGUCAAGAAGUGAAUGUAAAGAAAGAACACAAUCUGUAUGAAAAUUUUGAUUUCACAACUGGAGAAAAAACUUCUGGUUGCUCACUGACUGAAAAGACAUCCACACAAAAUAGAAGUCGCUCCUGCAUUCAGUGUGGAAAGUUUUUCUCUAGUCAUACGUACCUUGAUGUCCAUAUGAGAAUUCACAAAGGAGAGAAGCCUUUUACAUGCAUACAGUGUGGAAGGAGUUUCACUGCCAAAGGAAGCCUAAACAGGCACAUGAGCAUUCACACUAGAGAAAAGCAGUUCACCUGCAAACAAUGUGGAAAACAUUUCUCUAAAAGGGGUCAUCUUAAAGAUCACAUGAGUGUUCACACUGCAAAGAGACCUUUCAUCUGCUCUCAAUGUGGUAAAGGUUUCUAUCAAAGAAAAAUACUUGAAAAACAUGAGACAUUAUACUGUAGGCAGAAGCCUUACAUAUGUCCAUACUGUGAAAAGAGUUUUAGACAUAAAGCAAAACUGAACACCCAUUUGAGAACCCACACUGGAGAAAACACGUUCAAAUGUGAUAAGUGUGGAAAGAGCUUCAGAUAUAAAGCAACAUUGAACACCCAUUUGAGAGACCACACUGGAGAAAACCCGUUCGUAUGCGAUCAGUGUGGAAAGGGCUUCAGAAGUAAAGUAAAUCUUACAAUGCACAAAAGAGUUCACAUUGUUCACAAACCAGAUGGACCUGAAAUGUCAGUUGCAAUCCCAUCAGUAGCACACUGUUUUCUAUUAAAAAAGUAAUAUACUAUAGAAAAUCAUGCAUUCUGGUCAUUAUCUUCUAAUUUCUGUGUUGGCAAAAUUACUGUGAAUCAAAGGGAAUGUAUUGUGGCCAUUUUAUCUAGAUGUAAUAUAACAGGCAUCCCCAAAAUGUGUGUGAUUCAGCUCAGAAUACCCCAUAGAUCAUUUAUUAUUUCACUGAGAAUUACCAUUUUUGAGUGGAAGAAAAAACAUGCUAUUUCUGUGCUUUUCUUUAAAUUUAAAUGAGCUGUUGUUCCCCACAAACCUUCCUAGAAUAAGGUUAUGUCUUAAAUCUUGGAUAAUCUGGCAAAAUAAAACACAUAUUUGUUUUGGAUUA